GUUUGAUAUAUCAUAUUAACCAAUCAGAUGCGUUUGAUAUAUCAGAUUAACCAAUCAGAUGCGUUUGAUAUAUCAUAUUAACCAAUCAGAUGCGUUUGAUAUAUCAGAUUAACCAAUCAGAUGCGUUUGAUAUAUCAUAUUAACCAAUCAGAUGCGUUUGAUAUAUCAGAUUAACCAAUCAGAUGCGUUUGAUAUAUCAUAUUAACCAAUCAGAUGCGUUUGAUAUAUCAGAUUAACCAAUCAGAUGCGUUUGAUAUAUCAUAUUAACCAAUCAGAUGCGUUUGAUAUAUCAGAUUAACCAAUCAGAUGCGUUUGAUAUAUCAUAUUAACCAAUCAGAUGCGUUUGAUAUAUCAGAUUAACCAAUCAGAUGCGUUUGAUAUAUCAUAUUAACCAAUCAGAUGCGUUUGAUAUAUCAGAUUAACCAAUCAGAUGCGUUUGAUAUAUCAUAUUAACCAAUCAGAUGCGUUUGAUAUAUCAGAUUAACCAAUCAGAUGCGUUUGAUAUAUCAUAUUAACCAAUCAGAUGCGUUUGAUAUAUCAGAUUAACCAAUCAGAUGCGUAGUAAGCCAGUGAGAAGUAGUGAUAGUGAAAGUCAAAUCUGAAUCUCUCUAAUAACACUGUCAGACUGGUUAGAUUCAGCAAAUUGUUAAAUGGAAUACAAAACUUUCGCUUCUGAGAUUGGUCUGACGGAAAAAUUUUGAUCAAAUCAACAUGAGGUCCAUUUUAAUCAGACGUCCGAAAACUUCGCCCAGAUCUUGCUUGAAAUUAUAACCCGUUAUAGUAUGCAAGAUUCUCCCCUUGACGAGUAAAUUCAUCUGGCGUUAGACAAAGUAAAAUACUAAAGUAGUGCGCAUUUUGGCACAUUGCAGCUUAAUGGGUUAUAAGAGAGAGAAAUUCUGCCCAGCAUGGUUGGUCUGAUCAUUUCAAAUGGAAAGCGUGCUUUGUGUUUUUUUUGUAAAUAUAUCCAGUGCUUGCAAUAUGAUUAUGAACUUUAGCUAAAUUGAGGACUUUAUGUAAAUUUGUAUGCGGCAUAUAACAAAGUACGCAUUAUCAAAGUUGAGUUAUAGAAUUAUAGUGGCAUGCAGUCAUUGUUUGUUUUAUUAGGUUAACUAGUGCAUGUAGUGAUUAAGAAUCAAGUAAUAACAAAUAUAUGGACAAAAUAUUUACAUUUAUAUAUACCAGUAAAAUAUCGUGUUAGUUUUCAUAGGUAGUGAAAUAUUUCAUAUUGACGAUUAA
rnacentral:lncRNA from 1 species